rnacentral:rRNA from 1 species
GUUUAUCAAAAACAUCGCCUACUGCAUAUAUGUAUAGUAGGUCCUGCCUGCCCAGUGAGAGAUUUUUAAACGGCCGCGGUAACCUAACCGUGCAAAGGUAGCGAAAUCAUUUGUCUUUUAAAUGAAGACCCGUAUGAAAGGUAAAACGAGGGCUUAACUGUCUCCCUCUUUAAGUCAAUGAAAUUGAUUUUCUCGUGCAGAAGCGAGGAUAACCAUACAAGACGAGAAGACCCUUUGGAGCUUAAGGCCUAAGAUCAACUAUACUUAUAGGUCCACAAAACCCUAAUUAAACAGAAACUGAUCUUAGCCUUCGGUUGGGGCGACCACGGGAAACAACAUAACUCCCAUGAAGAUUCGGGAACUAAAACCUGAAACUGAGAGAGACAUCUCUAAGCCACAGAACAUCUGACUUCAAGACCCGGCUAUAAAGCCGAUUAACGGAACAAGUUACCCAAGGGAUAACAGCGCAAUCCCCUUUAAGAGCCCUUAUCGACAAGGGGGUUUACGACCUCGAUGUUGGAUCAGGACAUCCUAAUGGUGUAGCAGCUAUUAAGGGUUCGUUUGUUCAACGAUUAAAGUCCUACGUGAUCUGAG